rnacentral:rRNA from 1 species
GAUCCUGGCUCAGAGCGAACGCUGGCGGCAGGCUUAACACAUGCAAGUCGAGCGGGCCCUUCGGGGUCAGCGGCGGACGGGUGAGUAACGCGUGGGAACGUGCCUUCUGGUCUGGAAUAACCCUGGGAAACUAGGGCUAAUACCGGAUACGCCCUUUUGGGGAAAGGUUUACUGCCGGAAGAUCGGCCCGCGUCUGAUUAGCUAGCUGGUGGGGUAACGGCCUACCAAGGCGACGAUCAGUAGCUGGUCUGAGAGG